rnacentral:rRNA from 1 species
UGGGGAAUAUUGGACAAUGGGGGAAACCCUGAUCCAGCAAUGCCGCGUGAGUGAAGAAGGCCUUAGGGUUGUAAAACUCUUUCACCCGUGAAGAUGAUGACUGUAGCGGGAGAAGAAGCUCCGGCUAACUCCGUGCCAGCAGCCGCGGUAAUACGGAGGGGGCUAGCGUUGCUCGGAAUUACUGGGCGUAAAGCGCGCGUAGGCGGUGCAUUUAGUCAGACGUGAAAUCCCCGGGCUUAACCCGGGAAUUGCGUUUGAUACUGAUGUACUAGAAUUCGAGAGAGGGUAGUGGAAUUUCCAGUGUAGAGGUGAAAUUCGUAGAUAUUGGAAAGAACACCAGUGGCGAAGGCGGCUACCUGGCUCGAUAUUGACGCUGAGGUGCGAAAGCGUGGGGAGCGAACAGG